rnacentral:rRNA from 1 species
AUCUAACCAUGAGCAGGCUGAAUUUAAAGCGGUAACGCUUAUUGAAGGGCCGAACUCGUGUAUGUAGAAAAAUACUGGGAUGACUUGUGGUUAGGGGUGAAAGGCCAAUCAAACUUAGAGAUAGCUGGUUUUCUGCGAAAUCUAUUUAAGUAGAGCGUUUAGAAUUCUUUGUUUUAAGGUAGAGCACUCGAUAGAUAAAGGGGGCGUAAAGUUUUACUGCAUCUAAUGAAACUCCAAAUAUAAAACUAAAAAGAUUUUAAACAGACAGACUGUGAGUGCUAAGAUUCAUAGUCAAAAGGGAAACAGCCCAAAUUAUUCGCUAAGGCCCUCAAAAGUAAUUAAGUGAAAAAGAAGGUAAAAAAAUGUUGACAGCUUAUAGGUAGGCUUGGAAGCAGCCAUCUUUUCAAGAAAGCGUAACAACUCAUUAGUUUAGCUUUUUAGCAUCGAAAAUGUAUAGGGACUAAAAUUACUUGCCGAAACAAUAAAUUUAAAGCAGGCUAAUUUAUAAAUUAGUUCACUUUAAAUGGUAGCAGAACGUUUUGUAUUUUCGAGAAGAUUUAUAGUUAUAUAGAUUGAAGAAAUCAAAAAUGAAAAUAUUGAUAUGAGUAGCGAAAAACGGUUAAGUGAUAACAAACUGCGUCACCUUAAGUUCAAGGUUUAUAAGGAAAGGCUAAUCCUCCUUAAUGUUAAUCGGUCCCUAAGAUAACAACGAAAGUUCUAAUUGAUGGGUAAUAAUUUUUUAUUUUAUUUUAAAGUGACAAAAUACAAACUUAAUUUUUAAUUACAUAUUAAAGGUUUUUUAGUAUUUUCAGGAAAUAGCUUAAAAUAAUACCGUACUCUAAACCGACACAGGUGAACAUAUUUAGUAAAUUAAGAUGCUUGAGUUAAUUGUAUUGAAGGAACUCGGCAAAAUGACUCCGUAACUUCGGGAGAAGGAGUAGCUUUUUAGGUGAACGCCUUUUAAAGCUGUCACAAAAUCGAGGACAGCGACUGUUUAAUAAAAACACAGGUCUCUGCAAAUUUGAAAAAAGAGGUAUAGAGACUGACGCCUGCCCGGUGCUGCAAGUUUAAUAGAAGAAGUUUUGGCUUUGACUUUAACCCCCAGUAAACGGCGGCUGUAACUCUGACGGUCCAAAGGUAGCGAAAUUCCUUGGCAUUUAAUUGGUGUCCCGCAUGAAUGGCGUAACGACUGUCCUACUGUCUCCAAUACAAUCUCAGUGAAAUUGAAAUGUCUGUGAAGAUGCAGACUACUCGCGGCUAGACGGAAAGACCCUGUGCACCUUUACUAUAGUUAUAAAUUGUAAUAAAAUUUUUUUUGUGUAGUAUAUGUGGUAAGUUUUCAAUAGGCCAUAACCCAAGUUAUUUGUCUAAACGUUCAUGAAAUACCACUCUAAAAAACUUUUGUUACUCAUAAUUCUAAAAUAGUUUAUAAUGGGUAGUUUGACUGGGGCGGUCGCCUCCUAAAAAGUAACGGAGGCGUACGAAGGCAAGCUCAAAUUGAAAAAACCAAUUGAAGAGCAUAAUAGUAUAUUGUUUGCUUGACUGAAAGAUUGACAAAUCGAACAGGGAUGAAAAUCGGUUAUAGUGAUCCGAUGACUCUGAGUGGAAAAGGUCAUCGCUCAACGAAUAAAAGGUACGCCGGGGAUAACAGGCUAAUCAUUCUUUAGAGACCCUAUCGAUGGAGUGGUUUGGCACCUCGAUGUUGGAUUAUCGCAUCCUGGAGCUGUAAGUGGUUCCAAGGGUUUGGCUGUUCGCCAAGAAAGGCGGUACAUGAUCUGAGUUUAGAACGUUGUAAAACAGUUUGGUCCCUAUCUACCGUGAGUGUUAAAAAUUGAAAGGAGUAAACCUUAGUACGAGAGGACCGGGAAAAGUAAAUCUCUGGUGAAUCGAUUGUUAUAUAAAUAGCAUUGUCGAGUAGCUAUAUUUGUAAUAGAUAAUUGUUGAAAGCAUUUAAACAAGAAACUAGCCUUAAAAAAAAUUUUU